CCUCGCUUUUCUCGACUGUAAGGCGGUCGAGGAAUAAGAGCUGGGCAAGACCGGUGCCAGCCGCCGCGGUAAUACCGGCAGCUCAAGUGAUGACCGAUAUUAUUGGGCCUAAAGCGUCCGUAGCCGGACGAAGGUUCAUCGGGAAAUCCGCCAGCUCAACUGGCGGGCGUCCGGUGAAAACCACGUGGCUUGGGACCGGAAGGCUCGAGGGGUACGUCCGGGGUAGGAGUGAAAUCCCGUAAUCCUGGACGGACCCGAUGGCGAAAGCACCUCGAGAAGACGGAUCCGACGGUGAGGGACGAAAGCUAGGGUCUCGAACCGGAUUAGAUACCCGGGUAGUCC
rnacentral:rRNA from 1 species